AGUGAACGCUGGCGGUAGGCCUAACACAUGCAAGUCGAACGGCAGCACAGAAGAGCUUGCUCUCAGGGUGGCGAGUGGCGGACGGGUGAGGAAUACAUCGGAAUCUACUCUGUCGUGGGGGAUAACGUAGGGAAACUUACGCUAAUACCGCAUACGACCUACGGGUGAAAGCAGGGGACCUUCGGGCCUUGCGCGAUUGAAUGAGCCGAUGUCGGAUGAGCUAGUUGGCGGGGUAAAGGCCCACCAAGGCGACGAUCCGUAGCUGGUCUGAGAGGAUGAUCAGCCACACUGGAACUGAGACACGGUCCAGACUCCUACGGGAGGCAGCAGUGGGGAAUAUUGGACAAUGGGCGCAAGCCUGAUCCAGCCAUACCGCGUGGGUGAAGAAGGCCUUCGGGUUGUAAAGCCCUUUUGUUGGGAAAGAAAUCCAGCUGGUUAAUACCCGGUUGGGAUGACGGUACCCAAAGAAUAAGCACCGGCUAACUUCGUGCCAGCAGCCGCCGUAA
rnacentral:rRNA from 1 species